AGGAAACUGGGACCUACCAGGGACAGGCUGUACCCAGUGUCACACAGCAAAGAGCCAGGUGAUCUCACCCACCAAAUGAGCCCAACCACAGCCGUGUGGCCUGAUGACCUCUGUCCUCAACCUCACGAUUCUCAGAAGUGAAAUUUGUGGAUGGAGGAUGAGCAUUUCUCAGGAUCUUUAGACCCACUUCCAAAAUGCUUUCCAGGUGCUAUACCAACGAGCAUGGCCAUCAGCACUGUAUGAGGGUGCCCGUUGCCCUACAUCCAGGCCGUACACUGGGUAUUAUCUUUUUCUCACCUUUGCAAAUUUGAUAGGUGAAAAUAUAUUGUUUUCAUUUCUAUUUCUGCUUAUUGACAGGUGGAACAUUUUUGCCAAAUACAUAUUAACCACUGGGAUUUCAUCUGUGAAUUGUCUAUAAGGAUCUUCAUGUCUUUCUUAUUGAUUUGUAUACCUUCUUUGUUGAGAAGAUUAAUCCUUAGUUUAUCAUUUUUGCAAACACUUCCCCCAUUUGCCUUUCAGUUCUGUGGUAUUGUUGCUGUACUUGUGUUUAAUUUUUGUGCGGCCCAUCCCAUCCCUCUCUUUCAUCUCUCUGUUUCUUUCUUGCUUUGAGGAUGAGAGGCCCCUGAGGCAGAGUGUGUACAAGUCAAAACACCGAGCCUUAGAGACUUUGAACCCUGCAGCCCAGGAGCCCACCGGGCCACCAGGGAGGAGAUGGGUGUGGGCUCCGCUCUAAGGAACACACUCCAGCCCUGGGGACCAAGGAUAAAACAAGACCCCAAGAGGAAGAAGGAGGAACUUGAUCAUGGUUUCAGAGGCAGGGAGCCUGUCAUUCAGGCACUGGAAAGUGUGAUACGAGUUGUCAGGGCUGCAGGAGCUCAGAGGACACACAGAGUGAAAGAGUUACAGCAGGACUCCCAGAGAAAAGGAAGCUGAGCCUUACCAGCUGGGUGGGACUAUAAUCGUGCUUGGCUUCCAUCAUCUAACCCUGCGUGAUAAUCACGCCUUUGCAUAGAUUCUAAACCCAGCCCAUCCUUAGGUUCAAAUGUGACCUCAGGGAGGGGCGCCUUCCGUCAGUCCUCCCCCAGCCUAGUGAUGAGCCCUACUGCAGGCUCUCAGCCCCGAACCCCAGGCUCCCUCUCAGGCACCUGUGUGUGAGCUCUAACUGCCCACCUCCAGGGGCUCCAGGACACCUCCUGCAACAUCGUAGCCCCUGAGCCUGGGGCACCACCAGCGUGCAGCAGGCACUCGUGACGUGACAUGUCUGAGGAAGGACUGUGUGGACAGUGUAAGUGAGAUCAAGAACAGAGGUUGGAGGAGAGAUGGGCCGUGAGAAUAACAAAAAAAGGCUGCCACGAUUCCCACAGCAUCUCCGUGAAAAAAAUAACGAGGUACGAGGCCAGCAGUUGCUGCCCCCUUCCUGGCCAGAGCUCAAAGACCUGCAGAGUGACAACAGUCACCAGGGAGACAGAUGGACAAAUGGCUGAAACCUGGAAGCUUCGCUCCUGGGGAUACACAGGAUUUCCUACAAAGCCCCGGCUACGAUGGAGCAGGGAAUUGGUUCUGCAGAGAGCGACCUGCCUGUUGCUGGCCUCCUCCCACAGUGCCCACCGCCGGAGCAGCAUCUGUGAGAGCUGGCACCCCUGGACCUGGUCACAGACCACUUUUUCUUGGCAGGCCACUUGGGGCCUGGCUGUUUCCAGACAAGAAGCUGGUCAUUCAGGUCUAAACACAGACUUGCAUUCAUGAAGAAACAGAGCACCCCUGUGCUCCUGGGGGCCACCCUCUGCCCGGCAGGCUGAGGGGAGGGCCCACAGACACCCUCAGAUGCUCACCCCCACUCAAGGCUGCCUGGAGGUGUGGCUACUCCCGGGACAAGUCAGCUCUGUCCAUCCAUGGGUAGCAUCCAGCAUACCCAACUCCAACCACCCGGGGACACCCACCUCAGAAUCACUCUGGCUUUGGGGACCCACCUGGCUCUUGUCAGGGCACAGGCAGUCUCGAGCAGACUCAGUGUCCUGGAAGAGCCUGGGCGUGGGGACAGGAAGACAGGACGCAGGCCUAGAAGUACUUCUCACUGCUGUGGGUCCUUGGAGAAGCCACUCUCCCCUUCUGGGCCUCAGUUACUCCUCUGCAAAGGGGCAAGAAAGUCUCAAGCCAGGAGGGAAAGCAAAUGUUGUCUGAGGGAAUAACAAAGCCUAGCCAGGAACUGGGUGAGGGGGCAGAUGGCCACUGGCUCUCCGUGGUCAGAAAAACCCCAAUCCCAGGACAGGCUGGCAGAAGCCCUCAGAGGGCUGCCGGCCCCUCUGCCUCCAUCCUACAAAUGCCAAUUGAACGCCUGUAUUCGCUCAGCUCUGUGUAAGUGCUGUGUAUACGAAGAGGGAUAAGGCACGCUACUAUCCCCAAAAUGCCCAGUGGGAGAGGUAGACAUGAAACAAAUAUUUAUAGAGACCGAUACAUAAGUAUAACUGUGUAAUGUACGUUACGAAGGCAAAGCACAGCGUCCUAGGAGGACCUCUGUCAAGGAGUCCUGAGUCGCCCAUGGAGAGUGGGGAAGACCCCCCCGAAGCAGCAGCAGCAGCAUUUGCUCUAAUAGCCAAUGGAUGCUAAUCAGACUGAGGGGCUGGCAGG